GGUUAUGGAAAACAAUGAAAAACUAAUACCAGGGCCUCCACACAAUCAGAGGUGACAGAAAUACCAGAGCCUCCGCACAAUCAGAGGUUACAGAAAUACCAGAGCCUCGGACGAUGUCUCGGGAAGGCUUGCCUGGUCAGAGUUGCAAUGACUGUGUUCAGUCCCCUGACUCAGGCUACAGACACAGAUGGACCGGUCCCCAGAUUUCAGACCCAAAAUGGACUUACCUCCAGAGGUUUCCAGGACCCUGAAGGAAUUUGGGGUGAAUGUUGGCCAAGUGGUUGCUUGCACAUCACGGGGCCAGAACUCUGGGGCCCUGGAACAUCAUCAGGGGACACCUCCCACAGAGAUCCCCAAGGCAGGAGCAGCUGCCCGGGUGAGGUUCUAAGGGCUUUUGUCCAGGUGAUGGAGGAAUAUAAAUAAUAAUAUCUCGCUGGGGCCUCCAAAAUGUAAUAUCAGAUCAAAUAUAAAAAUCAACACCAAGACAAAAGUAUGCCAAAUUGCAGGGUCUUUAUUGCCAGCAGCCACGGAGGACUCAUGUCUCUCCAACCCAUGGCCCCGAGCUCAGGGAAAGCAGGGUUUUUAAGCU